AUUUCCUCAUUUAUCGUAAAAUUCAAGAGCUUAAGAUGUUUCGACCAAAAAAAAAAAAAAAAAGCCUUAAGACGUAACUCUCUUGCAAUAGCACUGUCUUGAGGUGCAAAUUUGAUCGCCUUUAGAAAGUCUUCCCGCGCAGCAUCUGUCUAGGCCCCUGUUUGGUUUCGGAGAAAAUCACAAGCUCAAAUUUACUCGCACAUUUUCUCAAUUUUUGUGUUGGAAUUGAUACGUUGCAGUGAAGGAGGUUAUCGAGAAGGUUCUGGCUGGGCUGAUACGGCCUCAUUUCGUUAUGGCUAAUAUUGGAAGUGGGUUUGGAUUGUAUGACAUCUCCAAGUUUGUUUGUGUUCUUGCUCAUAUAAACCCCUUAAUCUUAAUUAUUAUAUCUGAUCACGAACCUAUUCGGUGAUCAAUCUGAAGAGGAAGAGGAAGAGGGCAAUUCCGAGCACGAGCCCAAUCCACAGCCCAAUUCUGCCUGCGGGAGCAGCGAGAGAACUUUCCACCAUUGGAAAACUGGUGGGUGCAUUCCAGCAAGUCGUAUUCCUCUUUUCUCUUUUGAUCCACUUGCCCGGGAGGUAGUAUUCCGGUUACGGCUACGAAGUUUGCCCAUUCGACUGCAAGAAGAGGGAGAAGAAGCUUCGUAGUGGCAUUCCUCCGACGAGCUACCGAACUCCUAACCGAAUAAUAAAGCCGAUCUCGAGAAGGCUAGGUUUGGAACCCUCUAGGAACUGAAUCGCUAGAAAGAUCUCUUCUUUCGUUUAAACCUAGUGGGCCCUAAACCUAAGCUUUGAUCGCUGCGCUCCCCCCUUAUUGUGGAUGAUGCUAUCUGCGCUGUUGAAGGUGCCACAUUGAAAGCUGAGAUGAGUGGAAAGAAGCUAAUGCACUCACGGAACAACUUAAGCUCAAGCCUCAACUUCAGACAUUUCAAGUGUGGCUUUGCGAGGAUGAGGAGGAUAAUGAAGUGGUUAAGCUGCCCCUACUUAUUUAGUAACAAAGGCAGCUGCCCCUACUUAUUUAGUAACAGAGGCAUAAACAAAGGCAGCUGCCCCUACUUAUUUAGUAACAGAGGAUGAGGAGGAUAAUGAAGUGGUUAAGCUGGAUACGGUGCAUAUGAGUAUGAGUCAGAAUUUUAAGAAUAAAGUAAAAGCAUCGCUGUGACACCGACCGAUAUGGUGGAUUCAGCAGAAGAUGGUCGGUGGACUGCCAGAGAAUCCAGAGAAGUGGCACCGGGUGAUGCAGAACCUAUUUGGUGAUCAAUCUGAAAAGCAAGAGGAAGAGGUCGAUUCCGAGCACGAGUCCAAUCCCCAUCCCAAUUCUGACUAUAAGAAGAAAAUGGCUCAAUUACGAGCAGGGAAGAGUAGCAAGAGCAAACUUACAAUUGUAAAGUACAAGACUCCGGAGUCAGUGGAUGGAUGGGAAGUUCGUCAGGGGACUUACUUUCAGGAUGUGGUUGCUUCUAAGUAUGAUGGAGGAAUGGAUGCCAAGUUCGAAUUCACUUUCACCGGAGAUGCUGUUUUCUCCGGUAAGAGAAAGACUAAAGUGGGGUUUUGAGGUUCUAAAUGGAAACCAACUAUUAUUCCUUUUACUCUAUUUCUUGCUGCAUUGUAGGAUAAGUUUUCGCCAGACGAGGGUACUAACCUAAAAGCAGCUUCCCAAAAACAAAUUCAUGAUGCCAAAGAACCGCAUGGAAGAUUUCUAUGUGAAUGUCAAGGUCCGUACUUUUCCCUUUUUGGUUCUUGGCAAUACAAGCAUCUUCAGCUUUUUAAAAAUAAACCUAUCACAUGUUAUAAGUAUGAACUGGUGUGGGUGAAUAAUGGGUAGAUGAAUAAAAGGAAUGAAGAAAAAUAUUAGAAAACAUUCGGUAUGUUUGAAGAAUUUGUUUUUACUUAGGGAGACCAUUUGAUUGCUAAGGAAAUCGAGGAAAAGAAAACAAAGAAACUAACUGGGAGUUGUCUGAGUUGUUUAUAGAUACGGGACAUAGAAAAAACAACAAAUAUUUUUGUUUUUGUAAUGGCUGUCAUGAAUUUCCUUUUGACUAAACAAAACAUAAUUAGUUUAUUUGCUUUACUGAGAUAUUUGUGUCCCGAGCCAUAUCCAAAGUUGAUUUUGGACUUUCUUCGAUCUUAGAAUAUUUGGUUACUUUAGUGCAUUGACAAUUAAUAGACAUAAUUUUUUUUUAUUAUCAUUAUUUGUGUAUAAUUAUGCAACUUGUACGUUAUAACUUGACAAAGGUGAUUUUGCUUCCCAUACAUCAACAAAUAUUAAAAAGAAAUAUUUAAUGAGGGCUGGAACCCAGUCGAAGCUAGGAGGCUAGGCCCUCACGCCCAUAUUAUAUUAUUUAAAGAAAAAACAUACAACGAGGGGACAUAGUACUUAAAACCCCGACGAUCAAAACUAAAAUCAUAUACAACCACUUCAAGCAAUCAACAUGGCCCUUACAUAUUGAAUC